rnacentral:rRNA from 1 species
UACGGGGGGGGCAAGCGUUGUUCGGAAUUACUGGGCGUAAAGGGCUCGUAGGUGGCCAACUAAGUCAUGCGUGAAAUCCCUCGGCUUAACCGGGGAACUGCGUCUGAUACUGGAUGGCUUGAGUUUGGGAGAGGGAUGCGGAAUUCCAGGUGUAGCGGUGAAAUGCGUAGAUAUCUGGAGGAACACCGGUGGCGAAGGCGGCAUCCUGGACCAACACUGACGCUGAGGAGCGAAAGCCAGGGGAGCAAACGGG